rnacentral:rRNA from 1 species
CAGCGCAAGGGUGAGUAAUACAUGGCUAACAUACACCAAACAUGAGAAUAACUAUUAGAAAUGAUAGCUAAAGCUCCAUAGUUUCUUAAGACCUCCUGGUCUAAAGAAUAAAGGUAGGGAUCCUUCGGGACCUUCCGGUUUGGGAGUGGGUCAUGGGCUAUCAGCUAGUUGGUGAGGUAAAGGCUCACCAAGGCUAAGACGGCUAGGCGAUCUGAGAGGAUGAUCGCCCACAUCGGGACUGAGACACUGCCCGGACUCCUACGGGAGGCUGCAGUCGAGAAUCUUCCGCAAUGGGCGCAAGCCUGACGGAGCGACGCCGCGUGAGGGACGAAGGCUUUAGGGUCGUAAACCUCUUUCGCUUGUUAAGAAAAGUGUAUGUUAAUAGCAUGCACCCUGACAAAGGCAAGUAAAGAAGCACCGGCUAAAUCCGUGCCAGCAGCCGCGGUAAUACGGAUGGUGCAAGCGUUACUCGGAAUCACUGGGCGUAAAGCGUUCGUAGGUGGUUUAUUAAGUUGGAUGUGUAAUCCCACGGCUUAACCGUGGAACUGCGUUCAAAACUGAUAAGCUAGAGAGCAGUAGGGGACAAGGGAACUUCGGGUGGAGCGGUGAAAUGCGUAGAUAUCUGAAGGAACACCGAUGGCGAAAGCACUUGUCUGGGCUGAUUCUGACACUGAGGAACGAAAGCUAGGGUAGCGAACGGGAUUAGAUACCCCGGUAGUCCUAGCCGUAAACGAUGGAUACUAG